GCCGGGCGUGGUGGUGGACCCCUGUAAUCCCAGCUACUUGGGAGGCUGAGACAGGAGAAUUGUUUGAACCCAGGAGGUGGAGGAUGCAGUGAGCUGAGAUCGUGCCACUGCACUCCAGCCUGGGUGACAGAGUGAGACCCUGUCUCAA
rfam:Pan troglodytes isolate Yerkes chimp pedigree #C0471 (Clint) chromosome 1, whole genome shotgun sequence.